UGUGGGUGGCGAGUGGCGGACGGGUGAGUAAUGCAUCGGGACCUGCCCAGACGUGGGGGAUAACGUAGGGAAACUUACGCUAAUACCGCAUACGUCCUACGGGAGAAAGCGGGGGAUCGAAAGACCUCGCGCGGUUGGAUGGACCGAUGUUCGAUUAGCUAGUUGGUGAGGUAAUGGCUCACCAAGGCGACGAUCGAUAGCUGGUCUGAGAGGAUGAUCAGCCACACUGGGACUGAGACACGGCCCAGACUCCUACGGGAGGCAGCAGUGGGGAAUAUUGGACAAUGGGCGAAAGCCUGAUCCAGCAAUGCCGCGUGUGUGAAGAAGGCCUUCGGGUUGUAAAGCACUUUUAUCAGGAGCGAAAUACUGCCGGCUAAUACCCGGCGGGGCUGACGGUACCUGAGGAAUAAGCACCGGCUAACUUCGUGCCAGCAGCCGCGGUAAUACGAAGGGUGCAAGCGUUAAUCGGAAUUACUGGGCGUAAAGCGUGCGUAGGCGGUUCUUUAAGUCUGCUGUGAAAUCCCCGGGCUCAACCUGGGAAUGGCAGUGGAUACUGGAGAGCUAGAGUGUGAUAGAGGAUGGUGGAAUUCCCGGUGUAGCGGUGAAAUGCGUAGAGAUCGGGAGGAACAUCAGUGGCGAAGGCGGCCAUCUGGAUCAACACUGACGCUGAGGCACGAAAGCGUGGGGGAGCAAACAGGAUUAGAUACCCUGCUAGUCCACGCCCUAAACGAUGCGAACUGCAUGUUGGUCUCAACUCGGAGAUCAGUGUCGAAGCCUAACGCGUUAAGUUCGCCGCCUGGGGGAGUACGGUCGCAAGACUGGAAACUCAAGGCAUGACGGGGACCCGCACAA
rnacentral:rRNA from 1 species